rnacentral:lncRNA from 1 species
AUGCUGUUCUGCUGUGCCCCGAGUGAUCAAACAAUCCUGAGAGCAAACAGGAACUACAGCAGCAGGAAUCAAAGGACUUCACAAACCUGGAGAGUUAGAGAGAAGCCAGGGAGGGGUUUUCUUGAGGUGGGAGAGUCAGACGCCGAUCCACUGCAUCUCUAUAAGACCAAAGACACCGCUCAAGCUCUCUGUUGAAACUCUAUCAUUAAGACCAAGUAUGGGGUGAGUGAAGUCUUUCUCACAGCAGACCAACCCACAAGUGACUCUCUCUGGAGUCCCCAUGAAUUCUCUCUAAAACUCCUCCCUCACUUCUUUUACAUUCUUCACAAAAGUGAGAGGUUUAAGAGUCUCUAAUAAGUACUUGUAUUAAUUUUUACUUGGUGUGAGGGUUAAUUUUAUGUCAACUUGACUGGUCCACAGGGUGCCCAGAGAUUUGGUUAAACACGAUUUUGGGUGUUUCUGUGAAGAUAUUUUUGGAUGAGAUUAACAUUUGAAUUCGGAAACUGAGUAAAAGCAGCUUGCCUUCCCUAAUGUGGGUGGACCUCAUCUGAUCUUCUGAGGGGCCGAAUAGAACAAAGGGUCCUAUUUUUCUCUGGGUAAAGGGGGAAUUCCUCCUAUUUGACUGCCUUUGAACUGAGACAUCAGUUUUUACUGCUUUUGAACUUGAACUGAAACAUCAGCUCUUCCUGGGUCUGGAGCCUGCUGGCCUUCAGACAGGAACUGUACCAUUAGCUCUUCUUGUUUUCAGGUCUUUGGCUGUGAACUGGAAUUGCACCAUCAGCUGUCUUGGGUCUUAGCUUACCGACAUAAAUAUACAUAUAUCCUGGUUGCAUUCCUCUGGAAAACCGUGACUAAUACACUUGGUGAUCUAUCUCAUGACGUGUUUUUCUUUUUAAUACUUCGAGCCUUAUAUUUUCCACCAAACUUCCAUUUAAACAUCUUGCUACAUGUCUCACACAUAAUGAGAAAUGCUACUGAUUGAAGUGUGUUGUGUCUAUGGCCAGUGUAGAGGCAGAAGAAGGAUGAAGAACCUUUCCCUCUAGAUCUGUGGUGUCCAAUGCAGUAGCCAUUAUCCAUGUGUGGCUAUUUGAAUCUAAAAUUAAAAUAAUUAGGGAUGCUCGGGUGGCUCAGCGGUUGAGCAUCUGCGUUUGGCUCAGGGCAUGAUCCCGGAGUCCCAGAUCAAGGCCCACAUCAGGCUUCCUGCAUGAAGCCUGCUUCUCCCUUUGCCUAUGUCUCUGCCUCUCUCUCUGCCUUUCAUGAAUAAAUAAAAUCUUUAAAUAAUAAUAAUAAAAUUAAAUUAAAAUAAAAUUGAAACAAAAUUGAAUUAAAACUAAAGUUCCUCAGUGGCACUAGUCAUGUUUUAAGUAUUCAGUAGCUAGUGGCUACCUCACUGCACAGCACAGCUAUAGGAUAUUUCCCUCAAUGCAGAAAGUUCUGUUGGGCAGCAUUGCUCUAAAUUAUGUACAAAUGUAUUAGAGAACAUGUCAGGCCCUUCUUUCUUCUGGCCAGAUCAUCAUAAUUUUCUAGCUCACACCCUCAUCCGGGCAUAAAGAAAAAUGUGCUAUGUAUUUUUUAUUUCACCCUGAUUACUCUCUUUUCUUUCUUCUUUUUGCUUGAUUUCUUAUUCCAUUGAAGUGUCCUUUAUACUGUGAAUUUUUUUUUAUUUCUAGGAAGAGUGGGAUAUUUCCUUUGGCCUCAUAAUGCUCCAUCUAUACUUCUACUCUAGCAUUUAUUUAUUAUCACAUUAAAUUGAUAGUGUUCAUGUCUUUCCAUUGGAGUCUGAAUUUCUUAAAUACAGAGACUAUUGCUGAUAUGUAUGUACAGCAUCUAUCAUAGUACCUGGCACGAAGAAGACAAUCAUAUUUUUAAAGGACUUAGUGGCAAGGAUCCUCCCUAAAUUAAGCACACUGGAUCUAUCCACACCUGGAUCAACCUAGAAUUUAUCCUUAAUACAAUUACUUGUAAGGUGUAUGAUUAUUCUUUUAUGUAAUUCAAUUCAUAACUGAGUGUAAUGGGCUACAUUGUGUCUCCCCAAAAUUCAUAUGUCGAAGCCUUAACUCUCAGGUACUCAUAAUCCGGCUGUAUUUGGACCUAGGGCCUUUAGAGAGGU